AUGGGUUCAAGUCCUGGAAACAGCCUCUUACAGAAAUGUAGGGAAAGGCUGCGUACUAUAGACCCAAAGUGGUCGGACCCUUCCCUGGACCCUGCGCAAGCGGGAGCUACAUGCACCAGGUUGCCCUUUCCUAUAGUUUGUAUGCCCAGUUUAUAUAUCUAUGAUUUCUUCUUUGAAAUUUCGUCUUUUGGCAGUGUGGUGCGGCCAACAAAUGGGAAAAGAGGCACCACGGAGGGAGCUAAGCUCAUCGACUCUAUGCUCGAUGUCAUCCGGAAGGAGGUGCAAAACUGCCACUGCAUGCCUUCGAGGUCAUUUUCUUUCUCUACUGUAGACCAUUCUUUUUCUAAUAUAUGUUUAAUCUGA
rnacentral:rRNA from 1 species